AUAGGUGUGGAAGGAAUCUAUGCGGUCAGUGGUGAAGUAGUCACAACUUCAGCAAAAUUGUAUGCCGGGGUGAAUGAAACUUACGAAGUCCUUAUACCGCAGCACUGAUGUGGCUCUGAAGAUGGAGAGUAGUACGCCUGGCAGAAGUAGGCACUGGGGGAGUGUUCAGAGAUAGAAACAGAAGAGUUGUGCUGUCAAGCAGAAGACUGGGGACGAGGAAUAGCAGAGUGGAGGCUUUGGGGCUAUACCAAAUAAUCUCUGGAAGAAUACAUGAGAUCAAAGUUAAGGAACUGGAGAGAUAGGGGUAGUCACUUGAAUUUGCUUGAAGAUUCCCAAAUACUGCAGAGAUAGUCUCAUCCCAAAUGGAAAAAGGAAGCAUUAACUUUUGAUGAUUAGAGAAUCAAAAAGGUCUUUAUUAUUUUUUGCUGAAUCUUUAUGAAAGUCCUUAGCAGAGUUGAUAAAGCCAGCUGGUGGAAAUGACUGAGUUGUUACAGGGAUGGAAAAGAAAUUUGAUCUGAAUUUUGAAAUUCAGUGAAAAAUCUGGCAAAGUUUUGAAAUCCCAGUAAGAUAUAUCAUGAACAUGACAGUUCUCAGGAAUUCCAGCAAGCUUGCAGUCAAGGAACAGUCCUCAGUGAGGCAGGUGACAAAGUUUUAAUGUGAUUUUAUUUCUUGCCUCUUCCCCCUUUCUGAGUGAGGGAGUCUUUAUGAACUAAACUAGCAAAGCUUUCAGAUUUGGAGCCUUCCCUGUGCUAGUGUAUUGGUAUUUUUUUGUAUUUGGGACACAAGAAGAGUCACUUAGGUAUCAUGGUCUAUUUCUCGUAACAAGGUAGUGAAGAGAUUCAAUAGAGGUUGUGGAUUUGAUAGAUGUGGGAGAGAACACCUUCUGGAUGCUUUUUUAAAAUCAAAGUUGCUUCAUCUUGCUUUUGUUUUAAGGAACAGAACAUAUAAUCAGAAAGGUUUUAUCUAUUGUAUUUUAUGUCAGAAACUUCCAAAUCUUCCCAGCACCUUUCUGUGGGAGAGCAAAGGGAGUUUGCAUAAGAAUAGUCAGUCAAACAGGAAUGCUAAGGCAAACUAGAUAAUGAUGAAACUGAUGUCUGAAUUACCCUUGAUAAUGUUAUCAGGUUAAAAGGAAGGAUACCAGUCACCUUUGCAAGCUCUUCCUGAAUGUUAUCCCAGAAGAAUGCGUGAUCUGCAGUGGAAAGAAAAAAGUAAGCAAGCUGUUUAAGGCAAGUGAGGUUGGAAUCAGAACUAUUAGAUAAUAGAUUUUGUGUAAUUUAUUGUUUUCAGUAUAUUGGAUUUACUGUCUUAAAUUAAUCUUUCAACUGACAUCACUGUAACAAGGGAGUGGUACUGGCAGUAAGUGAGGCCAACUGACUUAGGUAUUAGGGCUAGAGUCAAGAGUCAGAACAAGACUAUGGAUCCAAACAAAAGGCUCUGGGGUUGUUUAAAGUGUGAAGGUCAGCUUUUAAUACAAACAAGAAAUCCUGAUCAAAAUAGAUCCAAUAGAAAUUGACAAAUUAUUUACAAGAGCUAUCUCACCUUUAUUUACUGUUGGCUCACUUUCACAUCAGAUUUGUUACAUUUUCAAAAUGAGCCAACUCUUUUUGCUUUUUGUGUGCUUUAUAUUAGUAGUCAGGGAGGAGGGCUUUAGGGUUCUUUGGAUAAUUUAUAGCAAAUAAUAUUAUUUAGUGUGAAUAGAAAAAAAAUAAAGAAUUCAAUAAUAAUAUAUUUACCAUAAAUAUCUCUAAUUAACUAAGCUCUAGUAAAUGUUUUAAAACCACAAUAAUUAUAUAAACUUUGGAUCAGAACUCCUUGCUGAAAAAAAAACAAAAGUCAAUCAUCUUAAUGAGUUUGUUUUCUCUGUAA